UACAGAGGGGGCAAGCGUUGUUCGGAAUUACUGGGCGUAAAGGGCGCGUAGGCGGCCUGUUAAGUCAGACGUGAAAUCCCCGGGCUCAACCCGGGAACUGCGUCUGAUACUGGCAGGCUUGAAUCCGGGAGAGGGAUGCGGAAUUCCAGGUGUAGCGGUGAAAUGCGUAGAUAUCUGGAGGAACACCGGUGGCGAAGGCGGCAUCCUGGACCGGCAUUGACGCUGAGGCGCGAAAGCCAGGGGAGCAAAGCGGG
rnacentral:rRNA from 1 species